rnacentral:rRNA from 1 species
UAGCAGAGGUCCCGAGCGUUGUUCGGGAUUCACUGGGCGUAAAGGGUGCGUAGGUGGUGACGUAAGUCGGAUGUGAAAAUCUCGGAGCUUCAAACUCCGAAACGGCAUUGGAACUGCGUUGCUAGAGGGUUGGAGGGGGGGACUGGAAUGCUUGGUGUAGCAGUGAAAUGCGUAGAUAUCAAGCGGAACACCAGUGGCGAAGGCGAGUCCCUGGACAACACCUGACACUGAGGCACGAAAGCUAGGGGAGCAAACAGG